rnacentral:siRNA from 1 species
UGAAAAAAACAGAGUGCGCAUA